rnacentral:rRNA from 1 species
ACCCAGCAACGCCGCGUGAAGGAUGAAAUCCUUCGGGAUGUAAACUCGCAAGAACAGGAAGAAUAAGUAAGAGUUAAUAUCUCUUACGAUGACGGUACUGUUUGUAAGCUCCGGCUAACUCCGUGCCAGCAGCCGCGGUAAUACGGGGGGAGCAAGCGUUGUUCGGAUUUACUGGGCGUAAAGGGCGCGUAGGCGGCCACCGCAAGUCGACUGUGAAAUCUCCGGGCUUAACCCGGAAAGGUCAGCCGAUACUGCGGGGCUAGAGUGCAGAAGGGGCAACUGGAAUUCUCGGUGUAGCGGUGAAAUGCGUAGAUAUCGAGAGGAACACCUGCGGCGAAGGCGGGUUGCUGGGCUGACACUGACGCUGAUGCGCGAAAGCUAGGGGAGCGAACGGGAUUAGAUACCCCGGUAGUCCUAGCCUUAAACGAUGAAUGCUUGGUGUCUGGGGUUUUAUAGUCCCCGGGUGCCGUCGCUAACGCUUUAAGCAUUCCGCCUGGGGAGUACGGUCGCAAGACUG